rnacentral:rRNA from 1 species
GACGAACGCUGGCGGCGUGCUUAACACAUGCAAGUCGAACGGAAAGGCCCUGCUUUUGUGGGGUGCUCGAGUGGCGAACGGGUGAGUAACACGUGAGUAACCUGCCCUUGACUUUGGGAUAACUUCAGGAAACUGGGGCUAAUACCGGAUAGGAGCUCCUGCUGCAUGGUGGGGGUUGGAAAGUUUCGGCGGUUGGGGAUGGACUCGCGGCUUAUCAGCUUGUUGGUGGGGUAGUGGCUUACCAAGGCUUUGACGGGUAGCCGGCCUGAGAGGGUGAACGGCCACAUUGGGACUGAGAUACGGCCCAGACUCCUACGGGAGGCAGCAGUGGGGAAUAUUGCACAAUGGGCGGAAGCGUGAUGCAGCAACGCCGCGUGCGGGAUGACGGCCUUCGGGUUGUAAACCGCUUUAGCCUGUGACGAAGCGUGAGUGACGGUAAUGGGUAAAGAAGCACCGGCUAACUACGUG